UACAGAGGUCCCAAGCGUUGUUCGGAUUCACUGGGCGUAAAGGGUGCGUAGGUGGUCGGGUAAGUUUGAUGUGAAAUCUCCGGGCUUAACCCGGAAAUGGCAUUGAAUACUAUUCGGCUAGAGAGUUGGAGGGGGGACUGGAAUUCUCGGUGUAGCAGUGAAAUGCGUAGAUAUCGAGAGGAACACCAGUGGCGAAGGCGCGUCCCUGGACAACUUCUGACACUGAGGCACGAAAGCUAGGGGAGCAAACAGG
rnacentral:rRNA from 1 species